rnacentral:rRNA from 1 species
UACGAAGGGGGCUAGCGUUGCUCGGAAUUACUGGGCGUAAAGGGCGCGUAGGCGGCACUGUUAGUCAGGCGUGAAAGUCCUGGGCUCAACCUGGGAACUGCGCUUGAUACGGCAGAGCUAGAGGAUGGAAGAGGGUCGCGGAAUUCCCAGUGUAGAGGUGAAAUUCGUAGAUAUUGGGAAGAACACCGGUGGCGAAGGCGGUCUGCUGGGGUCGAACUGACGCUGAGGCGCGACAGCGUGGGGAGCAAACAGG